CACGUAGGGGCCAAGCGUUGUCCGGAUUUAUUGGGCGUAAAGAGCUCGUAGGCGGUUCAGUCAGUCGGGUGUGAAAUCUCCGGGCUUAACUCGGAGGGGCCACCCGAUACUGCUGUGACUUGAGUCCGGUAGGGGAGUGGGGAAUUCCUGGUGUAGCGGUGAAAUGCGCAGAUAUCAGGAGGAACACCGGUGGCGAAGGCGCCACUCUGGGCCGGUACUGACGCUGAGGAGCGAAAGCGUGGGGAGCGAACAGG
rnacentral:rRNA from 1 species